GUAAGACUAGGAUAACUCCGGGAAACCGGGGCUAAUACUGGAUAACUUUUCUCUCCGCAUGGAGAGAGAUUGAAAGAUGGCUUCGGCUAUCACUUACAGAUGGACCCGCGGCGCAUUAGCUAGUUGGUGAGGUAACGGCUCACCAAGGCAACGAUGCGUAGCCGACCUGAGAGGGUGAUCGGCCACAUUGGGACUGAGACACGGCCCAAACUCCUACGGGAGGCAGCAGUAGGGAAUCUUCCGCAAUGGACGAAAGUCUGACGGAGCAACGCCGCGUGAGUGAAGAAGGUCUUCGGAUCGUAAAACUCUGUUGUUAGGGAAGAACAAGUAUCGUUCGAAUAGGGCGGUACCUUGACGGUACCUAACCAGAAAGCCACGGCUAACUACGUGCCAGCAGCCGCGGUAGUACGUAGGUGGCAAGCGUUGUCCGGAAUUAUUGGGCGUAAAGCGCGCGCAGGCGGUCUUUUAAGUCUGAUGUGAAAGCCCACGGCUCAACCGUGGAGGGUCAUUGGAAACUGGAAGACUUGAGUG
rnacentral:rRNA from 1 species